rnacentral:rRNA from 1 species
GCAAGUCGAGGGGUAGGGGAAGCUUGCUUCCCUGAGACCGGCGCACGGGUGCCUUACGCGUAUGCAACCUACCCUUUUCUGGGGGAUAGCCCGGAGAAAUCCGGAUUAAUACCGCAUAAGACCACGACACGGCAUCGUGACGGGGUCAAACAUUUAUGGGAGAAGGAUGGGCAUGCGUGCCAUUAGCUAGUUGGCGGGGUAACGGCCCACCAAGGCGACGAUGGCUAGGGGAUCUGAGAGGAUGGCCCCCCACACUGGUACUGAGACACGGACCAGACUCCUACGGGAGGCAGCAGUAAGGAAUAUUGGUCAAUGGGCGCAAGCCUGAACCAGCCAUGCCGCGUGCAGGAAGACGGCCCUCCGGGUUGUAAACUGCUUUUGUACGGGAAUAAACCUCGCUACGUGUAGCGAGCUGAAUGUACCGUAAGAAUAAGGAUCG